UAGCUCAGUUGGUAGAGCAUGGUGUUUGCAACGCCAGGGGUUGUGGGUUCGAUUCCCAC
rfam:Salmo salar isolate Sally breed double haploid chromosome ssa14, whole genome shotgun sequence.